GAUGAACGCUGGCGGCGUGCCUAAUACAUGCAAGUCGAGCGAACAGACGAGGAGCUUGCUCCUCUGACGUUAGCGGCGGACGGGUGAGCAACACGUGGAUAACCUACCUAUAAGACUGGGAUAACUUCGGGAAACCGGAGCUAAUACCGGAUAAUAUAUUGAACCGCAUGGUUCAAUAGUGAAAGACGGUUUUGCUGUCACUUAUAGAUGGAUCCGCGCCGCAUUAGCUAGUUGGUAAGGUAACGGCUUACCAAGGCAACGAUGCGUAGCCGACCUGGGAGGGUGAUCGGCCACACUGGAACUGAGACACGGUCCAGACUCCUACGGGAGGCAGCAGUAGGGAAUCUUCCGCAAUGGGCGAAAGCCUGACGGAGCAACGCCGCGUGAGUGAUGUAGGUCUUCGGAUCGUAAAACUCUGUUAUUAGGGAAGAACAAAUGUGUAAGUAACUAUGCACGUCUUGACGGUACCUAAUCAGAAAGCCACGGCUAACUACGUGCCAGCAGCCGCAGUAA
rnacentral:rRNA from 1 species